rnacentral:antisense_RNA from 1 species
AUAUAUAAGCAUUGUGGAGGGAGCCUGACCCUUAUGAGUCAGCCUCUUCUUAUGGCUUAAUAAACUGAAGUAUUUUCUUUGGAUAUAUUUUCAAGGAUUUCUUUUACACG